AAAAACAUUGUUAAAAAAUUUCAUUGAUGAACAAAAAGAAAGCGCCAUUCGGCUACACCCGACAUGGAUAUGUAGAUUUCUUGUUUGAAUAUUGAAAAAAACACGUUAUUAAAAGGCCGUAAUGUCCUAAAAUUUAUUUUUUAUUAUAUUUUUGCAAAUAACGACAUGAGAUUGACUAU